rnacentral:rRNA from 1 species
GACGAACGCUGGCGGCGUGCCUAAUACAUGCGAGUUGAGCGAUGAAGCUUGGUGCUUGCACCAAUUUGAAGAGCAGCGAACGGGUGAGUAACGCGUGGGGAAUCUGCCUUUGAGCGGGGGACAACAUUUGGAAACGAAUGCUAAUACCGCAUAACAACUUUAAACAUAAGUUUUAAGUUUGAAAGAUGCAAUUGCAUCACUCAAAGAUGAUCCCGCGUUGUAUUAGCUAGUUGGUGAGGUAAAGGCUCACCAAGGCGAUGAUACAUAGCCGACCUGAGAGGGUGAUCGGCCACAGUGGGACUGAGACACGGCCCAAACUCCUACGGGAGGCAGCAGUAGGGAAUCUUCGGCAAUGGACGAAAGUCUGACCGAGCAACGCCGCGUGAGUGAAGAAGGUUUUCGGAUCGUAAAACUCUGUUGGUAGAGAAGAACGUUGGUGAGAGUGGAAAGCUCAUCAAGUGACGGUAACUACCCAGAAAGGGACGGCUAACUACGUG